rnacentral:rRNA from 1 species
GACGGGGGAGGCAAGCAUUGUCCGGAAUUAUUGGGCGUAAAGAACACGUAGGCGGUUUUUCAAGUCAGUUGUGAAAACCUUGGGCUCAACCCGAGGACUGCAGCUGAUACUGGAUGACUAGAGUACAGUAGAGGAAAGUGGAAUUCCUGGUGUAGCGGUGAAAUGCGCAGAUAUCAGGAAGAACACCAGUGGCGAAAGCGGCUUUCUGGACUGUUACUGACGCUGAGGUGUGAAAGCUAGGGGAGCGAACAGGAUUAGAUACCCUGGUAGUCCUAGCCGUAAACGAUGGACACUAGGUGUGGGGAGUUAUCGACGCUCUCUGUGCCGAAGCUAACGCAUUAAGUGUCCCGCCUGGGGAGUACGGUCGCAAGACUA